rnacentral:lncRNA from 1 species
GACGAAGCCUAUGCCUUUGAGUUUUUCAACUUCUACCUUCAUUGCUUCGUACCGUUCAGCAUCAUAAGAUCUUCGCUUCUGUCUUACUGGCUUGGGGUUGGGGUCAAUACUUAAGCAAUGACAGAUGAUAUCGGGAGAGAUGCCUAGCAUGUCCUCGUAUGACCAGGUGAAAACCUUAAUGUUCUUUUGCAAAAAAGAGAUCAAUGCCAACCGAAUAGGUGGUGACAGUGGUGCCAAUCUUCACUAUGCGAUCUGGAUAAUCUUUUGAGAUAGAGACAUUCUCCAACUCUUCAGCGGGUUGUGCUUGUUAGGUGAAAAAGUUAUCUUGAGGAUCGUCGGGUUAACUGUUGCCACCAUGAAGAUCUAAGUUGGCUUCAUCUAGGUUGGUCUUUAUGACUUGGUCAUGUUUAGAAAAUGUUUCCUUGGGCACAGGCAGGUGUUGUUGCUUAACCGAAGUGUUGUAACAUGAUCAUGCACUAAGUUGAUCUCCUCUGAUCUAACCAUUGCCAUAGGGGGUUGGAAAUUUCAUCAACAACAUAUGUGUGGAUACCAUGGCCUUGAGAUCAUUAAUGCAUGUGCGUUCGAAGAUGACAUUGUAUGUCGUUGGGCAAUCAACCACUAGGAAGUUAGUGGUAAUGGUAGCUGUGUAAGGGCCUGUACGAAUGGUGAAAGGUAAGUGUAUGCUCCCCAAAGGUUGCAUGAAAUCACCGGAGAAGCUUAUCAGAGGGGAAAUCGAGCGAUCGAGCAAGUGUUCAGCUACAUUAAGUGCCCUGAAGGCUUCAGCAAACAUGAUAUUGACCGAAGCCCCCGUGUCUACCAGGAUUCGUCGUACUUCAAAGUUGGCUAUGUGAUCUUCCACGAUUAGUGGGUCUUUGUGAGGGUAGAAGAUACUUCUUUCUUCCUUAGGAUAGAAACAUAUUAGAUCCUAGUUAGGCUUUUGAUACUUACCUCCCCUGAUGUCUUCCACGUGAAGCACUUUGUGGCUAAACCUUAAAGCUCGUUCACUACUUUUCAUGGUCCUGUUGGAAGAUUUAGAUAUGGGUGUGCCACCACUUGUGGAAUAUAUCACAUUCACCUGGUGUUGGUUACGGUUACCCCUUGGAGGGUGAAAGAGGAAUUGAUCAAUUUUUCAUUCACGUGUAAAAGCUUCAAUCACGAAGGGUGAUACACUUC